AUCUGCCAUUAGGAGAAAACAGAGAUCUGAGCGAAGGAUUGACUGUUCCUGGAGCUGCCAGAGCUGGAAGGCACGGCAGGUUUUCACCUCUUCUCUUACAACAAAGAGCCCGUGAUUUGGUGCGAGAGCUACAGGGCGGUAACUCUGCCAAGUGCAAUACGGAGGUAAUUUUGGGAUGAUCUGCAACAGAAAGCAGCAGGUUAUUGGAACACCGAGAUAGUUCAGUUUUGCUCCAUCCUCUGAGGUUCCCCUCGCCCUGCUCUUCCCACUUGAUCCCAUCGGUGCAAACAGAAACCAGGACUGAGGAAGGCACCCAGAGCAGCAGCACCUACCCCGGCACAGCCUUGGGAGCUGGAGCUCACCCAGUGCCGCUGAGCCCCCUGUGUUCCCAGUGGCCGUGGGGGCUGCAGCACUGCUGGGGGCUGCUUUGUGCCCUCGCUGUCCUCAAAGAGCCGGGGCUUAACUCUGCGUGAGGCCUGAAGAGCUUUUCCCCUCCAGCUACCCAGGCUGACCCCGGUGUGAGGAUGCGAGCGUUUGCUCCCAGGCUGCUUCCUAAGGCAGGCUGAUCAGAGUCCCUGUGGAAAUGGAAAUCAAAAAGCCGCCGGACCUGAAGCAUUAAUUAAGACACACAACAGGGAGAGAGGGGGAGAAGCACGGAGGGGAGCGCCUGUUUGUGAAUUAUUUGCUCUGAAAGGAAGCGUUUGUGAAUUCGACGCGCAUAUAUCAUUUUGGUGGCAAAUGAAAGAAACUGAAUCAAACUACCCGGGAAGUUUGUACACCGCCGUGGAUUUAAUUUUCAAACCUGCAUCAUGCAAAGAUUGACCUUGCUGAAGGGCAUUAGCAGAGCAGGCUGAAUGUAUAAAACUUAAUCCCUGCUCCAAGUUUCUUCAGGAGGAAACACCAAGAAGAGACAAAUAUAUGUUGUAUGUAAAUAUCUCCUCCUUCCUUCCCUCCCCCCUUCUCUCCAGCUUCUGCGUUUUGGCUGCUUCACCUGCCACAGCCUGUCUGCCCGGCAAAGCAACAUACCUGGACCACGAGUGGUUUUGCACAACGUAGCUGCUAAUCAGUCUGUUCUCGUUAACGAGCAUUAAUGUUGUUUUGAGUAGAAAUGUCUGUCCCUGAGCACAGCCUGGUGCAGCAGCCCCCAUCCCUUGCUCCUGCAGCCCCGGAUGUUUCGGAGCCCUGCGAGCCUCGCGGUCGCCCUUUGCUGAUGUCCAAGGAGCAAAGAAAAUGCACGAUUUAGCCCGCAGCCUCAGUGCUCUGGGGAUGAAAUAUGCCUUUGGAAAAGCCAUUCAGUCCCAAAUAGCCUCUCUCAUCUCCAAUCCUUAUGGGUUUUAUGAUGAGCUAAUCGCUCUCCUAUCAGCAGUGCUACUGCUGCGUUUAUUGGUGCCGGGGAGCCUGGCCAUCUCCGUGCGCCGGGAGGGAUUUCACCAGGCAGGGCCCCCGCGGGGUCACAUCAGCCCGAGAUGGCCCUGCUGGUGCUCCCCAUCGCCUGCUCACAACGGUGGCCCUACAGAAACCCCUGUGGGCAAUGGAUGGCCUCUCCGAGCCUGUGCAGAACGGCCCCGGUGCCGCUGCCUCCUGCCCCGAGAUGUCAGACUGCCGCAAGGGACACCAGCCUGCUGGGGCGAGAGAAGUGGGGCUCAAAUAAACACCCUGAAACAGGUCAGAAAAGGGCCCAAAAGUACUCCCGGCCUUUCUGCCACCUGCCACAUGGAAGGCCCCCAAGGAUUAAUUAGUGUUUUCCCAGGGCCUGGAGAACUCCAAAUGCGUGGGUAUUUUUAGUACGAUCGAGGGGGAUGUACAACUCACCUCUCCAUAUUUUGCUCCCUUUUUCCUCUAAUUCUUCCAUUUGGUGUAUGGCAAAACACAGCCAUCCUUAUUGCUGAGUGUUGCGUCGUCUAAUUAAAUAAAUGUUUCCACAAGGA